rnacentral:rRNA from 1 species
GGAUUGGGAGGGUUCUACGGAACCCGUUUGGUGAAUCUAGUGCCGAGAAAAGCCUUCUAUGUGUUGAAUUUCUAGUACCCGUACCCCAAACCGACACAGGUGGGUGGGUAGAGCAUACCUAGGGGCGCGUGAUAACUCUCUCUAAGGAACUCGGCAAAAUGGCCCUGUAACUUCGGGAUAAGGGGUGCCUGCGUGAGCAGGCCGCAGUGAAAUGGCUCUGGCGACUGUUUACCAAAAACACAGGUCUCUGCUAAGUCGUAAGACGAUGUAUAGGGGCUGACUCCUGCCCAGUGCCGGAAGGUUAAGGAAGUUGGUUAGCGCAAGCGAAGCUGGCGACCGAAGCCCCGGUGAACGGCGGCCGUAACGAUAACGGUCCUAAGGUAGCGAAAUUCCUUGUCGGGUAAGUUCCGACCCGCACGAAAGGAGUAACGAUCAGAGCGCUGUCUCGGAGAGAGACACGGCGAAAUAGGAUUGUCCGUGAAGAUACGGACUACCUGCACCCGGACAGAAAGACCCUAUGAAGCUUUACUGUAACUUGGAAUUGUGUUCGGACUUUGUCUGCGCAGAAUAGGUGGGAGGCUAUGAAACGUUCCUCGCGGGGAACUGGAGCCAUCGUUGAGAUACCACUCUGGCAGAGUCUGGAUUCUAACCUACGGGGACAGUUCCAGGUGGGCAGUUUGACUGGGGCGGUCGCCUCCUAAAAUGUAACGGAGGCGCGCAAAGGUUCCCUCAGGCUGGUUGGAAAUCAGCCAUAGAGUGUAAAAGCAUAAGGGAGCUUGACUGUGAGACCUACAAGUCGAGCAGGGACGAAAGUCGGCUUUAGUGAUCCGACGGCACUGAGUGGAAGGGCCGUCGCUCAACGGAUAAAAGUUACUCUAGGAUAACAGGCUGAUCUCCCCCAAGAGUUCACAUCGACGGGGAGGUUUGGCACCUCGAUGUCGGCUCGUCGCAACCUGGGGCGGUAGUACGUCCCAAGGGUUGGGCUGUUCGCCCAUUAAAGCGGCACGUGAGCUGGGUUCAGAACGUCGUGAGACAGUUCGGUCCAUAUCCGGUGUAGGCGUAGGAGCAUUGAAAGGAUCUCUCCUUAGUACGAGAGGACCGGGAGGGACGUACCUCUGGUGUACCUGUUAUCGUGCCAACGGUAAACGCAGGGUAGCCAUGUACGGAGUGGAUAACCGCUGAAAGCAUCUAAGUGGGAAGCCCACCUUAAGAUGAGUGCUCCCUUGAGGCCACGGGAAGACGACCCGUUUGAUAGGCGCUAGGUGGAAGUGCAGUAAUGCAUGCAGCCGAGGCGUACUAAUAGGCCGAUGGCUUGUCC